rnacentral:ncRNA from 1 species
UGAAGAAUCUUAGAUUUUCUUAAUGUUCUGUAAGAGAUUUAGCAAUGCAGCAACAGGGAUGUUGCUGCAAGCAAAAGCCGGAGCAUGGACGCUGCGUCUUUUGCGGUUGCGUGUAUAGCGUAUAUUUUGGCAGAACAUUUGGAAAAUGUUAGAUUCG